rnacentral:rRNA from 1 species
GGCCAGACUCCUACGGGAGGCAGCAGUGGGGAAUAUUGCACAAUGGGGGAAACCCUGAUGCAGCGACGCCGCGUGAAGGAAGAAGUAUCUCGGUAUGUAAACUUCUAUCAGCAGGGAAGAAAACAGACGGUACCUGACUAAGAAGCCCCGGCUAACUACGUGCCAGCAGCCGCGGUAAUACGUAGGGGGCAAGCGUUAUCCGGAUUUACUGGGUGUAAAGGGGGCGCAGACGGCCAUGGCAAGCCCGGUGUGAAAGGCAGGGGCAUAACCCCUGGACUGCACUGGGAACUGUCAGGCUGGAGUGCCGGAGGGGUAAGCGGAAUUCCUGGUGUAGCGGUGAAAUGCGUAGAUAUCAGGAGGAACACCGGCGGCGAAGGCGGCUUACUGGACGGCAACUGACGUUGAGGCUCGAAAGCGUGGGGAGCAAACAGGAUUAGAUACCCCCGUAAG